CAGCCGCCGCGGUAAUACGUAGGGUGCGAGCGUUAAUCGGAAUUACCGGGCAUAAAGCGUGCGCAGGCGGUUGUGUAAGACAGGUGUGAAAUCCCCGGGCUUAACCUGGGAACUGCGCUUGUGACUGCACAGCUAGAGUAUGGCAGAGGGGGGUGGAAUUCCACGUGUAGCAGUGAAAUGCGUAGAGAUGUGGAAGAACACCGAUGGCGAAGGCAGCCCCCUGGGCCAAUACUGACGCUCAUGCACGAAAGCGUGGGGAGCAAACAGGAUUAGAUACCCCAGUAGUCCCUGUCUCUUAUAC
rnacentral:rRNA from 1 species